rnacentral:rRNA from 1 species
AACGAACGCUGGCGGCAGGCCUAACACAUGCAAGUCGAGCGAGGACUUCGGUCCUAGCGGCGGACGGGUGAGUAACGCGUGGGAACGUGCCCUUUGCUUCGGAAUAGCCCUGGGAAACUGGGAGUAAUACCGGAUGAGCCCUUUGGGGGAAAGAUUUAUCGGCGAAGGAUCGGCCCGCGUUGGAUUAGGUAGUUGGUGGGGUAAUGGCCUACCAAGCCGACGAUCCAUAGCUGGUUUGAGAGGAUGAUGAGCCACACUGGGACUGAGACACGGCCCAGACUCCUACGGGAGGCAGCAGUGGGGAAUCUUAGACAAUGGGGGAAACCCUGAUCUAGCCAUGCCGCGUGAGCGAUGAAGGCCUUAGGGUUGUAAAGCUCUUUCAGCUGGGAAGAUAAUGACGGUACCAGCAGAAGAAGCCCCGGCUAACUCCGUG